rnacentral:rRNA from 1 species
GCCGAGGGGCAUCAGUUUGGUUUGCUUGCAAACCAAAGCUGGCGACCGGCGCACGGGUGAGUAACACGUAUCCAACCUGCCUCAUACUCGGGGAUAGCCUUUCGAAAGAAAGAUUAAUAUCCGAUAGCAUAUAUUUCCCGCAUGGGUUUUAUAUUAAAGAAAUUCGGUAUGAGAUGGGGAUGCGUUCCAUUAGUUUGUUGGGGGGGUAACGGCCCACCAAGACUACGAUGGAUAGGGGUUCUGAGAGGAAGGUCCCCCACAUUGGAACUGAGACACGGUCCAAACUCCUACGGGAGGCAGCAGUGAGGAAUAUUGGUCAAUGGACGCGAGUCUGAACCAGCCAAGUAGCGUGAAGGAUGACUGCCCUAUGGGUUGUAAACUUCUUUUAUAUGGGAAUAAAGUUGUCCACGUGUGGAUUUUUGUAUGUACCAUAUGAAUAAGGAUCGGCUAACUCCGUGCCAGCAGCCGCGGUAAUACGGAGGAUCCGAGCGUUAUCCGGAUUUAUUGGGUUUAAAGGGAGCGUAGGUGGAUUGUUAAGUCAGUUGUGAAAGUUUGCGGCUCAACCGUAAAAUUGCAGUUGAAACUGGCAGUCUUGAGUACGGUAGAGGUGGGCGGAAUUCGUGGUGUAGCGG